rnacentral:lncRNA from 1 species
GGACCCCGUGUUGGAGUGGUGGCGCCGGUGGCUGUACUUCCACGAGAAGUAGGGCACCAGCAGCGCCGAGUGCAGCGCCAGGCCGACGGCGUCGUCCAGGAGCGCGUGGUCGGAGAAGGCGUGGUGGCCGCACUCGUGCGCGAUCACCCACACGCCCGUGCACACGCACCCCUGGGCCACCCAGUACAGCGGCCAGGCCGCGUAGCGGAGCGGGCAGGGUAGCGCCGGUAUCACGGCCACCGCGAGGUAGAGGAGCGCCGCGGCGAGCGACAGGUCGUGGGCCACGUACGAGAAGGACCUCAGCACGGAGCGCUCGAAGCAGUGCGGCGGGAUCGCCUUCUUGAUCUGCCCCAACGUGAACGGCGGCUUC